rnacentral:rRNA from 1 species
CCUACGGGUGGCAGCAGUGGGGAAUAUUGGGCAAUGGGCGCAAGCCUGACCCAGCAACGCCGCGUGAAGGAAGAAGGCUUUCGGGUUGUAAACUUCUUUUCUGAGGGACGAAGAAGGUGACGGUACCUCAGGAAUAAGCCACGGCUAACUACGUGCCAGCAGCCGCGGUAAUACGUAGGUGGCAAGCGUUAUCCGGAUUUAUGGGGUGUAAAGGGCGUGUAGGGGGGAGAGCAAGUCAGAUGUGAAAACUCAGGGCUCAACCCUGAGACUGCAUUUGAAACUGUUUUUCUAGAGUGCUGGAGAGGCAAGCGGAAUUCCGUGUGUAGCGGUGAAAUGCGUAGAUAGACGGAGGAACACCAGUGGCGAAGGCGGAUUGCUGGACAGUAACUGACGCUGAGGCGCGAAAGCGUGGGGAGCAAACAGGAUUAGAUACCCUUGUAGUC